UUUUUAUUUAUAUUGUAAUCUACUAUUAUUGCAUAUUUGUCCUCUUAUUGUGAAUUUUAUUUUUAUUUAGAGUGAUGGACAUAACUAUACAAAGAAUAAUGAAAUUCUGGUUACAUCCAAAUAUUAUAUUUAACAAUUCAUCUAAGGGAAAACGUCUACAAGAAUAUCUUUCCCACAUUAAUAAAAUAACGAGCGAGAUUAUAAAGAAAAAGAAGGAGUCAAUGCACAAGGAUAACUUUACCCAGGAAGGAAAA
rnacentral:lncRNA from 1 species